GCGCAUAAAAACGGAGGAUACAAACGCAAAAACUUUUUACGAGAGAGAGGAGAUGAACGCGUCUUCUUCGUCUGUCGUUCUUUCUUCUUUCUCUUUUUUCUCUGUUUCUGUUUCUUUUUGAAACGACGAGG
rnacentral:ribozyme from 14 species